CUUAGUGGCGGACGGGUGAGUAACGCGUGGGUAACCUGCCUUGCACUGGGGGAUAACACGUUAGAAAUAGGUGCUAAUACCGCAUAAGCGCACGGUCCUGCAUGGGACAGUGUGAAAAACUCCGGUGGUGCAAGAUGGACCCGCGUCUGAUUAGCUGGUUGGCGGGGUAAAGGCCCACCAAGGCGACGAUCAGUAGCCGGCCUGAGAGGGUGGACGGCCACAUUGGGACUGAGACACGGCCCAAACUCCUACGGAAGGCAGCAG
rnacentral:rRNA from 1 species